CCCAAAUGCCCUAUCUAUUGAAAUCCCUAAUUAUCAGUCAGAGCCAGAGAGAUCACUGCUUUGUCGAUUUCUUACCCCCGAUUCCUCGGUUGCUUUUUUUACUUACAAGGAAAAGGUUCAGUGUUUGGGUUUCUUGCAAACUUACAUAACCCACACAGAGAAGACGAAGAAGGUGUCAUUCGAUUCUGGUUUUUGGUGAAUUCGACUUUUAAGGUUCGAUUUCUUUAUUUUGCGUAUAAAAAGUUUGGGUUUCCUUGUUUUUGUUUAUUUUUUUGUUUGUAAUUUGUUGAAGGCCCGUUGAAUGAAGUGAAAUCGUCUUCACAUAACCCACACAGAGAAGACGAAGAAGUCUUGGUCUUGCACCAAAUGCACUUUCCUCAACUCUCCAUCCCAAACCGUCGCUUGCAAAAUCUGUCUCUCACCUCCGUCACCGUCACCGUCUUCGCCGUCUAAAUGGGCUUGUAAAGCUUGCACUUUUUUGAACCUUUACAACAAAUCCAACUGUGAAAUCUGUAUUCAACUUCAUUCCCCUUCAUUCCCCUAAUAUCAUUUUUUUUCAAGAAGUUACUCUAAUGAUUUAUGACCUUUUUCGUGGGUCUAACUGGUGGAAAGGGUACCGGUGCUCUAUCUCGGACGACAUAGUGAGUUUGAGAGCUUACUUUUGUAUGCAGUUAAGCAAAUUGCCUGUGAAAUCCUUAACAGUCUGAAACAUAUUGCAUUGAUGGAGGCCAAGAAGAAAAAACUCUCUGAUUUACUGAGUAAGAAUUUAGAAGGGAUUGAGGAAGCAGCAAGCAAUGGCCCCAAAAGACGGAGAAAGCAUUUCUCAAACACCCCAAGGUGUUUUUAAGGUGUUACUGGAUUAUGGAUUGGCAUUCUGUAACUAUUUUCCUUGACAAACUUAGAAAUAAAGCAAUCACAUUCACUAUUUUUCAAGCCACUUGCAUCUUACUCCUCUAUGUUGAAUCAAAUUGAGGAAUUGCUAAGUGCUAGAGACUAUAAAGU